rnacentral:rRNA from 1 species
GAUCAAGCUACAAAGGGCGCACGGUGAAUGCCCUGGCACUAGGAGCCGAUGAAGGACGUGAUAAGCUGCGAUAAGCUUCGUGUAGGCGCAAACAGCCUGUGAUACGAAGAUUUCCGAAUGGGGAAACCCGCAUGAUUAACAUCAUGCACUGUAUACUGAAUACAUAGGUAUAUGGAGGUACACUCUGGGAACUGAAACAUCUAAGUACCAGAAGGAAGAGAAAGAAAAAUCGAUUUCCUGAGUAGCGGCGAGCGAAACGGAAAGAGCCCAAACCAGAAACUUGUUUCUGGGGUUGCGGAUAGAACACAACGCUUUGAUUUUCUUAGCCGAAUAGAAUUGGAAAGUUCAGUCGUAGAAGGUAAAAACCCUGUAGGUGAAAAGAAAAGAAAAGUAGUUCUACUCCAGAGUACCACGAGACACGAGAAACCUUGUGGGAAGCAGGGAGGACCAUCUCCCAAGGCUAAAUACUACCUAGUGACCGAUAGUGAAGCAGUACCGUGAGGGAAAGGUGAAAAGAACCCCGGGAGGGGAGUGAAAUAGAAUCUGAAACCGUGUGCCUACAAACGGUCGGAGCACAUUAAAGUGUGACGGCGUGCUUUUUGUAGAACGAGCCAGCGAGUUACGAUAUGCAGCAAGGUUAAGCACUUAAGGUGCGGAGCCGAAGGGAAACCGAGUCUGAAUAGGGCAACUAGUUGCAUGUCGUAGACCCGAAACCGAGUGAUCUAUCCAUGGCCAGGAUGAAGCGAAAGUAAAAUUUCGUGGAGGUCCGAACCACGUUGGUGUUGAAAAACCAUGGGAUGAGCUGUGGAUAGCGGAGAAAUUCCAAUCGAACUCGGAGAUAGCUGGUUCUCCUCGAAAUAGCUUUAGGGCUAGCGUCGGGUAAUUGAGUAAUGGAGGUAGAGCACUGAAUGGGCUAGGGGGCAUAGCGCUUACUGAACCCUAUCAAACUCCGAAUGCCAUAUACUUGUAUCCCGGCAGUCAGACUGCGAGUGAUAAGAUCCGUGGUCAAAAGGGAAACAGCCCAGACCAUCAGCUAAGGUCCCAAAGUGUAAGUUAAGUGGGAAAGGAUGUGGGAUUUCUAAGACAACUAGGAUGUUGGCUUAGAAGCAGCCACUCAUUCAAAGAGUGCGUAAUAGCUCACUAGUCGAGAGAUCCCGCGCCGAAGAUGUAACGGGGCUAAAACUUACCACCGAAGCUAUGGAUGUGUACUACGUACACGUGGUAGAGGAGCUUUCUGUACAGGUUGAAGCCAUACCGUAAGGAGUGGUGGACAGUGCAGAAGUGAGAAUGCUGGCAUAAGUAGCGAGAAACAGGUGAGAAUCCUGUUGGCCGAAUAUCUAAGGUUUCCUGGGGAAGGCUCGUCCUCCCAGGGUUAGUCGGGACCUAAGCCGAGGCCGAAAGGCGUAGGCGAUGGACAACUGGUUGAUAUUCCAGUACCACCAACAUGCGUUUGACAGAUGGGAUGACGCAGGAGGAUAGGGUGUGCGCACUAUUGGAUGUGCGUUCAAGCACUUAGGAGGAUUGAACAGGCAAAUCCGUUCAAUCUUAACUCUGAGGUGUGAUGAGGAGCGAAAUUAAGUAGCGAAGUACCUGAUUCCACGCUGCCAAGAAAAGUCUCUAUGGAGUAUGUUGGUGC